AUGAACGCUGGCGGCGUGCUUAACACAUGCAAGUCGAACGAACCUUCGGGUUAGUGGCGGACGGGUGAGUAACGCGUGAGAAUCUGCCCUCAGGAGGGGGAUAACAGCUGGAAACGGCUGCUAAUACCCCAUAUGCCGCGAGGUGAAAUGAAUUUCGCCUGAGGAUGAGCUCGCGUCUGAUUAGCUAGUUGGUGUAGGUAAUGGCUCACCAAGGCAUCGAUCAGUAGCUGGUCUGAGAGGAUGAUCAGCCACACUGGGACUGAGACACGGCCCAGACUCCUACGGGAGGCAGCAGUGGGGAAUUUUCCGCAAUGGGCGAAAGCCUGACGGAGCAACGCCGCGUGAGGGAUGAAGGCCUCUGGGCUGUAAACCUCUUUUAUCAAGGAAGAAGAUCUGACGGUACUUGAUGAAUAAGCCACGGCUAAUUCCGUGCCAGCAGCCGCGGUAAUACGGGAGUGGCAAGCGUUAUCCGGAAUAUUGGGCGUAAAGCGUCCGCAGGCGGCCUUUCAAGUCUGCUGUUAAAAAGUGGAGCUUAACUCCAUCAUGGCAGUGGAAACUGAUGGGCUUGAGUGUGGUAGGGGCAGAGGGAAUUCCCGGUGUAGCGGUGAAAUGCGUAGAUAUCGGGAAGAACACCAGUGGCGAAGGCGCUCUGCUGGGCCAUCACUGACGCUCAUGGACGAAAGCCAGGGGAGCGAAAGGGAUUAGAUACCCCUGUAGUCCUGGCCGUAAACGAUGAACACUAGGUGUCGGGGGAAUCGACCCCCUCGGUGUCGUAGCCAACGCGUUAAGUGUUCCGCCUGGGGAGUACGCACGCAAGUGUGAAACUCAAAGGAAUUGACGGGGGCCCGCACAAGCGGUGGAGUAUGUGGUUUAAUUCGAUGCAACGCGAAGAACCUUACCAGGGUUUGACAUCCUGCGAAUCUUUUGGAAACGAGAGAGUGCCUUCGGGAGCGCAGUGACAGGUGGUGCAUGGCUGUCGUCAGCUCGUGUCGUGAGAUGUUGGGUUAAGUCCCGCAACGAGCGCAACCCACGUCUUUAGUUGCCAGCAUUUAGUUGGGCACUCUAGAGAGACCGCCGGUGAUUAACCGGAGGAAGGUGUGGAUGACGUCAAGUCAUCAUGCCCCUUACAUCCUGGGCUACACACGUACUACAAUGCUACGGACAAAGGGCAGCAAGUUCGCGAGGACAAGCAAAUCCCAUAAACCGUGGCUCAGUUCAGAUCGUAGGCUGCAACUCGCCUACGUGAAGGAGGAAUCGCUAGUAAUCGCAGGUCAGCAUACUGCGGUGAAUACGUUCCCGGGCC
rnacentral:rRNA from 1 species